GUAGUAUUCCCUCCGUCCCAAAAUUCUUGUCUUACAUUUGUUUAGAUACGGAUGUAUCUAAUACUAAAAUGUAACUAGAUACAUCUGUAUUUAGACAAAUUUAAGACAAGAAUUUUGGGACGGAGGGAGUACAAA
rnacentral:pre_miRNA from 1 species